CGCAAGGGAAGAAACUAUACAUAUCAUGAGGUUGGACCCGUGGUACCCCCUUUGAUAAGAAGCACCGGCUUAAACUACGUGCCAGCAGCCGCGGUAAUACGUAGGGUGCGAGCGUUAAUCGGAAUUACUGGGCGUAAAGCGUGCGCAGGCGGUUUUGUAAGUCCGGAUGNUGAAAUUCCCCCGGGCUCAACCUGUGGAACCUGGCGUUCCGGAAAAACUUUGUCNAAUGGANCNUANGGAAGUGUUUGGUUCCAAAGAAAGCGCGCGGGAGAUUAAAGGAAAAUUCCACGUGUAGCAGUUGAAAUGCGUAGAGAUGUGGAGGAAUACCAAUGGCGAAGGCAGCCCCCUGUGAUAACACUGACGCUCAUGCACGAAAGCGUGGGGAGCAAAACAGGGAC
rnacentral:rRNA from 1 species